rnacentral:rRNA from 1 species
CCUACGGGUGGCAGCAGUGGGGAAUAUUGGGCAAUGGGCGCAAGCCUGACCCAGCAACGCCGCGUGAAGGAAGAAGGCUUUCGGGUUGUAAACUUCUUUUAUCAGGGACGAAGCAAGUGACGGUACCUGAUGAAUAAGCCACGGCUAACUACGUGCCAGCAGCCGCGGUAAUACGUAGGUGGCAAGCGUUAUCCGGAUUUACUGGGUGUAAAGGGUGCGCAGGCGGCGUGUCAAGUCAGCGGUAAAAUGUCGGGGCUCAACCCCGGCCGGCCGUUGAAACUGGCGUGCUCGAGUUGGAGAGAAGUAUGCGGAAUUCGUGGUGUAGCGGUGAAAUGCAUAGAUAUCACGAAGAACCCCGAUUGCGAAGGCAGCAUACCGGCUCCACACUGACGCUGAGGCACGAAAGCGUGGGUAUCGAACAGGAUUAGAUACCCUUGUAGUC